rnacentral:rRNA from 1 species
UACAGAGGGGGCAAGCGUUGUUCGGAAUUACUGGGCGUAAAGGGCGCGUAGGUGGCGCUGUAAGUCGGGUGUGAAAUCUCGGGGCUUAACUCCGAAACUGCAUUCGAUACUGCGGUGCUUGGAGGACUGGAGAGGAGACUGGAAUUCAUGGUGUAGCAGUGAAAUGCGUAGAUAUCAGGAGGAAUGACCGAUGGCGAAGGCAGGUCUCUGGGCUGACACUGACGCUCAUGCACGAAAGCGUGGGGAGCAAACAGG